rnacentral:misc_RNA from 1 species
UGUGCAUACGUGCAGUAUAAAAGUUGAUUGCUAACAACAGCUGACGUUUUGACAGUGCCGAUUUGUGAACAAAGAAAAAGCAUAUUUACAUUAUCUUUUUAUCAAUUCCGUAUCAUUAUGGAGCCAUAAAAAUCGAAAUAACAAAUAGAUAAAGCAGUGUAUUUUUCUUUCUCAUUAGUUGUAAGUAAUAGAUGAGCGAAAGUGAAAAUGUCUCGAUCGGAUUUGAAGAAUUGGCCAAUUCUCAGUCUUUUAGAACCGGAAUACAUAGCCGAAUUGAAAAUGGUUAUGGUUUACGGUAAUUUGGGUAAUGAAGCCCUCUUAGUAUUAAAAGAUGGUAGCGUCCAUGCUGUUGGCAAUAAUGCAACUGGAUGCUUGGGAACGGGAGAUACGCACAGCACUUUGUAUCCUAGAAAAAUAGAUGUUCUAUCUCAGAAAGGAAUCAAGGCGUUUGCUUAUGGUAUCGGACCUCACGUACUCGCAUUGACCGAGAAGGGAGAGAUAUAUUCGUGGGGACACAAUGGUUUUUGUGAAUUAGGGAAUGGAUCUUCGAAUCAAGUUUCUACACCAGCCAAAAUAGAAACAAAUUUGGCAGAUAAAGUGGUGGUGGAAAUAGCUUGUGGUAGCCAUCAUUCUUUGGCCUUAACGAACGAGGGUGAGGUUUAUGCUUGGGGACAAAACUCCAGUGGACAAGUAGGAAGUGGAAUUAGUACGAACCAAAAUACACCUCGGAAGGUGAACUCAAGUUUGGCUGGAAAAAAAGUUGUAAAUAUUGCCUGCGGUCAAUCUUCAAGUAUGGCUGUUACGAAUUAUGGUGAAGUCUACGGUUGGGGCAACGACAGCGUUGGACAACUUGGCACAAGCAAAUACGUCAAUCAACCAAAUCCUCAUAAAGUUGGAGGCCUCUCAGGAAUAGUCAUAGAAAAAGUAGUUUGUGGUUAUUCCCACACUUUAGCCCUAAGCGACGAAGGUGAGCUGUUCGUCUGGGGUGGCAACGCUUAUGGUCAGUUGGGCCUUGGUACUAAAGUAAAUUCAUGUGUACCAGUGAAGUUGAAUGUACCGGAAAUGGGAAGAAUCUCAGACGUCGCAGCGGUUCAUUACAAUCAUAUAAGCGUGGCGAUCACGCACGAUGGUCAAGUUUUUAUGUGGGGACAAUGUCGAGGUCAGAGUGUCCCAACUCCAACACCAACGCCUUUUACGAACCUCCACGAGGCUCUAGCUUCAUACGCAACACCGAGUGUAAUGCACACACCUUUAAGACUGUACUCCGAAGAAGACACGAGCAUCCUCGACUGCCUGAAGCAAGCGUUCGACGAUCCAUCGAGCAGCGAUUUAAUCAUACAAGUCCAAGGGAAGCCGAUUCACGUUCACAAGGCAGUGUUGAAAAUACGAUGUCAAUACUUUAGAUCAAUGUUUCAAGAACACUGGACCGAAAACAAUCAAUCGCUCAUCCAGCAUGACGAUUUUUCGUACGAAGUUUACAAAUCUUUCUUAAGAUAUCUGUAUACCGACGAGGUCGAUUUGCCAGCGGAAAAUGCAUUGGAACUGCUGUAUCUGGCGAACGCGUAUUUCGAGCCACAAUUGAAGAGGCGAUGCGUGCAGAUAAUAAAACAGAGUAUUACGGUUCUCAAUGUGGCUUUUCUUUAUAGUACAGCAAUCGAAUACAAUUCUCAGUGGUCUUUCAGGAGCUCGAGAAUUUUUGCUUCAAAUUCGCUAUGAAUCACAUGACGAGCGUCAUACAGUCACCGAACUUCGCCAAGUUGGACGAAGCUACCGUUAAAACCUUCAUCAUCAAGGCAGCUCAAGCAGGAGCUUUUAAAACGGGGAUCGAUCUGCAGCCGAAGAGCCGUUGAAUGUGGAUAAAUAAACGAAGAACAAAAGUAUUCGCGCUAUGAAAUUAAACAGCCCCGGUACAAAGUCCAGGUAAACUUUAUCACGAACAUCAAAUGAAAUGGAAACCCCUGAAAACAAAAUGUCAAACGUUUCUGAAAGUGUUCCAUCCUUUUUAUCAUUAAUCUUCGAAUCCAAGUGAAUGAAAGUUUCAUCAUAAAACUGGCAAACUGAAAUAUUGUUCACUAUACAUUAUAAAAUAAUUUUAAAAAUGAAUAAACUGAAAACGAUGGCAAGAAA